rnacentral:tRNA from 1 species
GGUUUUAUAGUCAAUUUAUGAUAUUAGACUGCAAUUCUAAAGUAGUAAUUUUUUACUAAAACCU